GGUUCUAUAGAGUAGUGGUUAGCACAUCUGCUUUACACGCAGAAGGUCCUGGGUUCGAGCCCCAGCGGAGCCA
rnacentral:tRNA from 1 species